UACGUAGGUGGCAAGCGUUGUCCGGAUUUAUUGGGUUUAAAGGGUGCGUAGGCGGCCUAUUAAGUCAGUUCUGAAAUAUCCCGGCUUAACCGGGAGGGUGGGAUUGAUACUGAUGGGCUUGAGUGGAGUCGAGGUAGGCGGAAUUGACGGUGUAGCGGUGAAAUGCUUAGAUAUCGUCAAGAACACCGAUAGUGUAGACAGUUUACUAGACUUCAACUGACGCUGAGGCACGAAAGUGUGGGGAUCAAACAGG
rnacentral:rRNA from 1 species